CACUACAACAGAGAGAGGGAGCAAGCGCGAGAGGAUAUUAGAAGAGAGGCUUGUCUCCAAGAUAUGGAAGGAAGUGAGAAAUGACAGGGCUGCAAGCUUUGUAUGUGGGAGCUUGGCAGGGCGGGGGAGUGGCGAAGAGAGCCAAGUGGAUUCUCAGAAAAGGGGGGAAGCCAUCGAAGAGCUAAAGGUGAUUAGAGGGGGAUAUUGAUUCCUUAUUCUGCCAGAGAUUUAAGCAGGCAUGCAAGGAAUCUGCACCAUGGUUGGCAAAAGGAGACCCGUUGCCUCCUGUAACCAGACACUCGGGCUUUCCAGGAGCCUAGGGAGAGAGCCGAGAAGAAAGGGGGCAGUGUGGUCUAGGAAAAUCCAACUUGUCGCUGAUUUGUGCCUGAUGCUUGCUGUCCGUCAGCAGCCUCCCUUACAAUCUUUUUUUUCCUCUCUCUCUCUCUUUUUUUCCCUUGCCUUCUCCUUCUUCACUGAAGCCUAGGGGAGCCAGUAAAGAUUAAAUGUGCUUUCUCAAAGGCAGCCACUUCAUGCUGCUAUGUCGAAAGGGCCAUUAUUAUUAUUAUUAUUUAAUAGUAAGAGAAAAAGGGAGAGAGGUUGAGAGAGGGAGAGCGAAGCUAGGUGUGAUGAUGACGGACUAGCUUUUCCGAGAGGAAAAGGAAAAGGGAAGGGAGAGGAAAAGGAGAGACCCUGAACUGAACGUUGGAUUGAGCCUAGAAGAACCUACAGAGUGAAUAUUUUCCAAAUUUGAUCAGCCCCAGCCCCUCCCUCCACUCCUACCCGACUGCCUUUUUUUUCUCUCGUCAAAGCAUAAACUACAGAGUUACAGUCUCUAGAUUUGGUGUAUCGCUUCCUGCCCCCGCCUCCCCUCCCCGCCCCCGUUCUCCGUCCUCUAUUGAAACACCUCGCCCAGCCUAGCGCACUGCGAGCUCACAUUCCCCCCCUCGCUAGGGAUGGUGCCACGGGAGGCUGUGCGGCAGCCCCGCUCCGCUUCGAAUGGUUGUGUUGAUGUUCCUUUCAGCUGGUCCUAUAGUCCCUUUCCUCAGGAAUGUCUCCCCAGUGAAAGGACAAAGACUGCAGAGACUGCUAGAUUGAUGGACUCUCAAGCCAACUAUGAAGUUGAAACAAAGAAAAUGAUCACCUGAAGACACCUCUCCUGCUAACAACACACCCAAAUGUUGCAGUUUCAGCCACUAAAACUCUCAGCACAAAAGGCAAUCUUUUCAAGAAACAGAAAAACUCAUCUAGAUUUCUGAGUCAAGAUUUUCCCUUCCUCGUGUGUAUUCCUCUGUUUGUAUUUAAAUUCAUGUGACAAUCAUGUUUUUUUCUUAAUAUGGAUAUACUUAUUAAUACACUAGUUUUAAAAUCCAAAAUUGCGCAAAUAUGUUAUUAAAAAAAAUAAUGCUAUAAGAAGAAUGAUUUUUAGCCAUACAUAGGGUUUGAUCUUAAGAAUGACCUAGAAAGUAAAGAGUAUUCUUGAAAUAACAAAGUAGUCAGAGGCAAUUCAAAAGAUAAAAUAGUGGUAGAAACUUAUUCUGCAGCAUAGAAAUGCCACAUUGUUCCAUUUGACACUCACCAAUCCACAUUAUUAUUACAAAGCAAGCUAGUUUAUGUGAGAUUAGGUCACUGCUUCUAAAGAGCUUCGGGUCUAGUUAGACAAAGUUACAGAAACUUUUGAAAAGAUAAGUAACAGCGUCAGCAGAGGAUAGAAACAAAAAACAAAACAAAGCAGAAGAUGAACACAGAGUGUUUGCCAUAAGGUGGGCAUAACUGGCUUGUUUGGGGAUGAAAGUUUCUAAAAGAGGAAAGUAUUAGAUGAAUGUUGAAGGGCGUCAAAGAUUAGAUAAAAGGAAAGAGAGGAGAAAACUGAGUUCUUUAGGUGGAUAUAACAUUUUGAGCAAAGCCAUGGAGGAGGAAAUGAAUCUGCAUGUCAGUUGACCUCACCCCAGACAUUCAGCAGUUCUCUCUAUGUAUCUGGGAAAGAUUUUGCACGUACACAUACCUCUCCUCUUCCCCGCUCAGUGUUGACAAAAAUUAUUAUCAUAUUUUCUUGCAAUUAAACAAAUGAGGGUGGCUGGUGAUAACAUGGAGAACUGUGUUUUUUUCUGUUAAACUAAUAAUAAUUGUUAUACCGAGUUCUCAAUGUAUGUUGAACACUUUACAUAUUAACUCACAUACAACUCACAGUAACCAUGCAGAAUAGAUAUUAUUAUCCCCAUUUAACAGGCAAGAAAACUGAGGUUUAAGGAACUUGUCCAAGUACCAUAAAAAGGGUUCAUUUUCAGAAUUGAGACCGUAAAGCUCAUGCAAAGUCAUGAUAUCAUAAUCAAUGUCACAAUUAUUAUCACUUUUUAAAAUACUUUUUUGUUAUAUUUCUAUGAUAAACAAAUAGCUAUUUCAUUUAAUAAUCACCUAAACUUUUUCACUUUUCUUGUUGAAUUAUGUAAGUAGGAAAUAGAGCUUAUCAGCAUUUUAGGCAAUUUUUUUGUUUGCAAAACUGAUUAGAUUGUUUGUUUUGGUCUGCACAAAGCCUCAAAUUCUUGAGAAUAAAAAAAGGUGGCGGCUUAUAUCACCUGUUGCAAUGUCCUUUGUUACAGAUGAAAUAAAUCUAUAGCCCAUAAUCUUAGAGUAACUUACAGACGAUUACAUUUUGGAGUGUGUCAGAGCAAGGACCAGAAACUAGGUGCUCUAGUCAUCUCUCAGUAGAUUGUUGAACUACAUUACCCUUCCUAAAUGAAGCAUGAACUUGAAUUUGAUAAAUGGAGACAGGUUUUCCAGGUAGUAAUCAGGGAGCAUUAUGCCUACUGAAUUGCUUUAGUUCUGCACUUUUUUUGUUUCCUAUCUCAAUGUAAAAAAAAAAAAAAAAAAAAGCUAGAUAUGAACUAAUAACUUUAAGUCCAAAAAUUGCCAAUGGUCCAUCCCCAAAGAACACAUAAUGUCCAAAAUUUUAUGAGUACAGUAUCUUCUAUGAUAUUCUUAAGUUAUUUGGAUUCUUAGUUCUUCUUAAUCAACUUUAUGCAUGGUAUAUAUUUGUAAUUGCUUUUGCAUGAAUGUUUACAUGACUGUCUCCAUAGUACUUAUGUUUUUAAAACUAUUAAGUCAUGUGCUAUUAUAAUCCCCACUUAUCCAUGUAACUAGCUCCAAAAUAUUUUGGCCAUAUAAAGCUAGAACUGAGAAAAUCUCAUUAUUUUUAACAUCCCUUUGCAUUCAACUGACAUUUAAUAAUGAUUCAUAUGUGGUCAGAUGGGUAAUGGAGGUUCAAGAUGCAAUUCUGUCUCAAAGGAGUCAGUUAAGUUGGGUCUAUUUAUGGACAAACAUCUAAAUGUUUGAAAGUAUCUGAAUAUUUGAUUGUAAAUUUCCACAUAGAUAUCUGACAUUGUCAGACUUAGAUCUCCUCAUGGCUCUGGUCACUCUAUUUUCAAAAUGAUUAUUGUUGCCCAUAUCUCACACGGUUCUCAUUAAGUAAAUUCAUAAAUAAACAGGGUUUUUAAAAGAGCAGCCAAACACAAGGUGUGACUUUGUUGACAUUUUAUGAGACUUUGUCAUAUGUCCCCAGCCCCCAAUAAAAGUAAUGUUGCAUCAACUGUGAA